rnacentral:rRNA from 1 species
AUUGAACGCUGGCGGCAGGCCUAACACAUGCAAGUCGAGGGACCGACGCACGGGUGAGUAACACGUAUCCAACAUGCCCUUUACUCGGCGAUAGCCUUUCGAAAGAAAGAUUAAUACCCGAUAUAAAGGAUGGGGAUGCGUUCCAUUAGGUUGUGGGUGAGGUAACGGCCCACCAAGCCUUCGAUGGCUAGGGGUUCUGAGAGGAAGGUCCCCCACAGUGGAGCUGAGGCACGGUCCAAACUCAUACGGGAGGCAGAAGUGAGGAAUAGUGGGCAAUGGGCGGUAGCCUGAACCAGCCAAGUAGCGUGAAGGAUGAAGGCUUAUGGGUCGUAAUCUUCUUUUAUAGAAGAAUAUGUAUUAUAUGAAUAAGGAUCGGCUAACUCCGUGCCAGCAGCCGCGGUAAUUC